rnacentral:misc_RNA from 1 species
CAGCAGCAGCAACCAGGAAUUCUACCAGAAAUACCUGGACAAGUUGGCCAGAUUCUACCACCAACAACUAAUCAGCUUUCGGCAAACUGCAGUAGCUUCUUAACAGGAGCUGUAGGUGGAGGCCAGUCGGUGGUUACGGAUGAUAUUCCAUCAUGUUCCACCUCACCAUCUACCAACAACUGUCAAAAUGUAGUUCAGCCAAUUAUGAAUGGUAGGAUCCAUCGAGGCACAGCUGCAGCGGAGGAAACAACCCAG